rnacentral:piRNA from 1 species
UCUGGGAACUGUUGUAAUAUAUG